rnacentral:rRNA from 1 species
CACGCCGUAAACGAUGAUUACUAGGUGUAGGGGGUAUCGACUCCCUCUGUGCCGCAGUUAACGCAUUAAGUAAUCCACCUGGGGAGUACGGCCGCAAGGUUAAAACUCAAAGGAAUUGAC